rnacentral:rRNA from 1 species
GAUGAACGCUGGCGGCGUGCCUAAUACAUGCAAGUCGAGCGAACAGACGAGGAGCUUGCUCCUCUGACGUUAGCGGCGGACGGGUGAGUAACACGUGGAUAACCUACCUAUAAGACUGGGAUAACUUCGGGAAACCGGAGCUAAUACCGGAUAAUAUAUUGAACCGCAUGGUUCAAUAGUGAAAGGCGGUUUUGCUGUCACUUAUAGAUGGAUCCGCGCCGCAUUAGCUAGUUGGUAAGGUAACGGCUUACCAAGGCGACGAUGCGUAGCCGACCUGGGAGGGUGAUCGGCCACACUGGAACUGAGACACGGUCCAGACUCCUACGGGAGGCAGCAGUAGGGAAUCUUCCGCAAUGGGCGAAAGCCUGACGGAGCAACGCCGCGUGAGUGAUGAAGGUCUUCGGAUCGUAAAACUCUGUUAUUAGGGAAGAACAAAUGUGUAAGUAACUAUGCACGUCUUGACGGUACCUAAUCAGAAAGCCACGGCUAACUACGUG